CCCUCUUCCCCGCCAACCCCAUGGCAUCUCCGCUCCUGCCGCCGGGCUCUGGGUUGCCGGGGAAACGGGAAAAUAUAAACUCCCAAGCCAUCCUUUUUUCCCUCCAUCCUCGCCCAACGAGCCUUUCUCGAAAAAAUUCCGGGAUUCCAGAGGGAAAAUGAAAGCAGAGGCACGACCGGGCUGGCACUAAAUACACUCCAGACGCCAUUCUGUAAUACCUUGAUAGGCCACCGAAAAAGGAAGAUUUCCCCCUUCAUCAGGUGGCAUGUUAAAAGCAAGCAGAGAGACGGAGGUUAAGGUUGACCUUAAAGCCUUCUCAUCAGCUUGUUAUGCCAAGAAAACAACAACAUAUUCACUCAGCAAGAUCUGCAAGCAAAGGCUGUCUGUGGACCAAGUAGGGAAGAUAUCCUUAAAAACUGGGAGGCGAAGCAUCUCAAGAAUGAUUGUAGGUGAACAUGAGAGAACUUGUUAGCUGCCGUACUAUGGAUAUGGAAGAACCUUCAGAGAGAAGCUCACAUGGCCGAG